rnacentral:rRNA from 1 species
AUGUGUGUCCCGAAGAAGAAGGGAGGCAUGGGGUUUAGAGACCUUCACAGUUUUAACCUUGUUAUAUUAGCAAAACAGUGUUGGCGACUUCUCCAAAAUCCCGACUCUUUGUGUGCACGUGUUCUGAGUGCAAAAUAUUAUCCUAAUGGCGAUAUCCUCAAAGCUGGUCCAAAGAAAGGCUCAUCUUUUACUUGGCAAAGUAUUGUUGCUGGGAUACAAACUUUCAAAAGGGGUUGCAUCUGGCGAGUGGGCACUGGUUCCCAGAUUAACAUUUGGGAGGACCCUUGGAUCCCUUCUAGCGAAACCAGGAAGCUUAUUACCCCUAGAGGAGGAAUUAUGUUAACAAAGGUGGAAGAUAUAAUCGACCCCCACACGGGACAGUGGGAUGAGGCACUAUUGCAUAGCGUGUUCUCACCAGUGGAUGUGCACAGAAUACUUCAAAUCCCCCUCCAUGUUGAAACUAUGGAAGAUUUUGUGGCGUGGCAUUAUACGAGAUCUGGAACUUUCUCAGUUCGUUCGGCAUACCAUGUGGAGUUCGAUCAGUACGGACGUCAUUACGCAAGCUUGAAUAGCCCAGGGAGUGCUUAGUUGAAUGCAGUUUGGAAAGAAUUAUGGCAACUUCGCCUUCCAGGGAAGAUCAAACAUUUUGGCUGGAAAGUAUUAAAGGGGGUAUUACCAUGUUACGGUGUUCUCGCAGGCAGACAUGUACCCUUGAUCCCGCAAUGCCCAUUGUGCAAAAUUGGUCUAGAGGAUAUCCAGCACUGUCUAUUUACGUGUAUCCGUGCAUCUGAAGUGUGGACUGCUCUAGGACUAUCGGAGGUGAUU